rnacentral:rRNA from 1 species
AAUCAACGCUGGCGGCGUGCCUCAGACAUGCAAGUCGAACGCGAAAGGUUCCUUCGGGGACCGAGUAGAGUGGCGCACGGGUGAGUAACACGUAGGUAAUUUGCCUUUGGGUGGGGAAUAACUCAGGGAAACUUGAGCUAAUACCGCAUAAUGCAGCGGCUCGACAUCGAGACAGUUGUUAAAGCGGGGGAUUCGCAAGAACCUCGCGCCUAAAGAGAAGCCUGCGGCAGAUAGCUAGUUGGUAAGGUAAUGGCUUACCAAGGCGACGAUCUGUAACCGGCCUGAGAGGGCGGUCGGUCACACUGACACUGACAUACGGGUCAGACUCCUACGGGAGGCAGCAGUCGGGAAUUUUGGGCAAUGGGCGAAAGCCUGACCCAGCAACGCCGCGUGAAGGAUGAAAUUUUCGGAAUAGUAAACUUCGCAAGAACAGGAAGAAUAAGGUGGGGGACGAAUACCCCCAUGAUGACGGUACUGUUUGUAAGCUCCGGCUAACUCCGUGCCAGCAGCCGCA